UCUUUUUCCAAUUAUAAAAAGUCUCUGUUUUAAAUUCUAGCUGAUCGGGUCGUCCCUGAAACACAUUACCUCAAGCUGCUGACCUUUGGAAAGCAAAUCAGAGACCAUGUGGAGAUGUGAUCCGGCUCCAGCUUCAGUGAGGGUGAUUCACCCCCGGUUCCAGCCCCGCCCUGGGCAGGGGGGGUGCUGGGUCCGACACAUGGAGGGGACACCGGAGCAGGUCUGAAGCUGAUGUUCCAGGAAGGAGGCCCGGGACUUCCCUGGCAAUCUCCGCCAAGCUCGCGGAGGAUGUUUGUGCCAUGUCUAAACACGGACUGCAGAUUGAACGUGACCCAAGCAGGUCACUUUCCCUGCAGUUUCAAAAGCAAACUCAAUCCAAGACCUGAUAUGGUUCAAAUCAGCUGGAUCAGGGGGCCUCUCGGGUUGAGAGAGGCUCCAGCCACUUCUAAUUUGGUUUUAGAAUAUGAAGAAAUAUCAAAUUGGUAUUCAAAAUCGUGAUAUAUUUUAAAUAUUUAGAUAAUUAACACUUUCAAUACAUUUGCAUUUGUAAUAGUGCUAUCCUAAAGAUGACUACAGAAUUAUAUAUACAUAUAUAUGGAUGGAGAUACAUAUAUUUCCUUUUUGGAAUAUAGAGAUAUAUUUUAAAGUCAGGAAAAAGGAUAAGUUUAUUUUAUUUUUUUGCUUUUUGUUUUUGGCUGUGCCAUGCAGCUUGCUUUAAAGCAACAGCUCCAACUGUUUAUUUGAAAAAGUACAGUAAAUACACAGGGAAAUUUUUACACAUAUUGUGUAAUAGUCUCUCACUAUAUAUCUGCUCAUGGUAUACCACAGGUGCACUGGUUUGAUAAAGGAAGGCAAAUUCAGGGUAAUACGAUUAAACAAAAUACAUUUUUUUUUUUAAUCCUUCUUUUCACGAAGGUCCUUGUAUGGAGAUGGAGCUCUUGGAGAAUGCGCAACCUGGACACCUGCCCAGGGCAGGCCCUGCUAGGAGACAGCAAGAGCUGCAGGGGGUGGAGCCUGUGACUCGGCAUCAAAGGACUCAGGUUAUUUGAUACCCCACAGAAGCAAGAGCUCACCUAAUGUGUCCAAACUGAAUCCCCAGCAUCUGCACAUUCAAGAAAUACUUGUUAAA